rnacentral:tRNA from 1 species
GGAGGGCUGUCCGAGCGGCCGAUGGACCCGGUCUUGAAAACCGGUAAGCAGCAAUGCUUCGUGGGUUCGAAUCCCACGCCCUCCG